UACGGGGGGGGCAAGCGUUGUUCGGAAUUACUGGGCGUAAAGGGCUCGUAGGCGGCCAACUAAGUCAGACGUGAAAUCCCCAGGCUCAACCCCGGAACUGCCUUUGAUACUGGGUGUCUGGAGUCCGGAAGAGGUGAGUGGAAUUCCGAGUGUAGAGGUGAAAUUCGUAGAUAUUCGGAGGAACACCAGUGGCGAAGGCGGCUCACUGGUCCGGUACUGACGCUGAGGUGCGAAAGCGUGGGGAGCAAACAGG
rnacentral:rRNA from 1 species